rnacentral:tRNA from 1 species
UUAUAGAAAGUGAUAUAUCACAUUAAGUUUCGACCUUAAAACUGGAUCUUUUCCUCAUAAU